UGCACUCUGGUGUAUGGAAAGGUCUGGUAUCUGGUUUGUGGGGCACUGGAGAAACUGUGUUUGUUCCAUAUGCUGUUCAGGGUCCGGCAUGUGUGGUAUGACAUGUGUGCUCAUGUCAUUAUGCAGCCUACGUAAAUCCAGGUGUGACCCUGCCAAUCUGGAGCCAGAACGCAUGUGGGAGCGUGUGUCUGUGCUCAGUGUAUGUCUGAGUGUUGCCCAACUGUGGAAUUGGCUAAUUUUGACAAGUGAGGUAGCAUCUACCUCCCUGACUGCUUCACCCCCAGCUUCCCCUUGGUAGACAGACAGACAGGCAGACAGACAGCUCUCCUCCCUGCUUGUCAAACUCUGUCUCCCCUGACUCCCACUUUAGGUUCACAGGUGUGUACCUGGGAAGUACGAGCCACUCCUCCUCUCAGCCUACGGUUUGACCCUCAUCCCCCCUCCCCCCCAGGCUGGUUUGGAUUUCUGUGUAGAGUCUCCUUGGAGAUAGAGACACCCCCUGGGGGCUUUGUCAUAGGGACCUGGGUCCAGCAAUGCCCCAAUAGAGACUUCCUGGAGAGCUGACCGCCGAGGAGAAUUGGAAACACUAAAAGCUCCUGUGUGUUUUGCCCCAUGGGCUGUGAUGAAGCCCUGGGAGGGAGGUGGGAAGGACCGAAAUCAAGAUUGCCUUUAUGGAGGAGAGAAAGCUAAAGGUAGGUUCCAGGUGAGCUCUAAGCUCAGGGUUUUGGAGUCCGGGGCACACCCAUUCUUCCUUCUCUCUUCAUUUUCCUACCAAUGUUGAGACUGGAGCUCAGUUGCCAAAGGAACCAGAAAAGGAAGAAAUUGACGACGACUCUGGGGCUUGGACCAGCAGAUACGGGACACAGGUGGCAGAGGCUGAGCAUGUCUCAGCUCCAGGGCUUGGCCAAGAAAGAAAGGAAGCCAUUUCAAAUUCAGGGAGACCACCGAACAGGACAAAGCAGCAGGACAGGGAGAGAAGUAGGUAGGUACUGUGUCUGUUUGGGUUUUAAAUUAUGGAAGACCAAUCUGUUUUGGUCCCAAAAGCCUCCUCACUUCUUGGGUGACUUUGUGUUUCCAUGCCUUUCUGAUCUGUGAAGGGCUUUUCUCUUGAACAGGACAUAGCUGGCCUGAUGUGGCUUUCUUAAUCACAAUAGUAGUGGAGUGGUUCUGCAUACUGCCUGAACAGGCCCUGGG
rnacentral:lncRNA from 1 species